UGAAUGAGCACUCAUCAUCUUUACAUGUGUGCCAGACUGUUGUCUUCCCAUGCUGUCUACUGGACUGUUGUUCUCAUAUGUCAGAGCCCUUUUGGGCGAGAAAAUCUACAGAAAGUUUGCCCAACAUGAUACAGUAAGUGGCUACAUGAGGAGGUGAACCCAGGUUACGUGACUACAAAGCCUGUCUUAUAAGCAAUGCAAAUUUAAAAUGGUAAAAUCUACGUGUGGACCGAUCAUGAGCCAUACCUCAAAACACACAAUCCAGACAUAUGAAACUGCUUAAUUAAAAUCAGUUAUAAUAACUGGAAAACAUUCUCUACC
rnacentral:lncRNA from 10 species